AUGCACAUCAUUUUUCAUUUGAAAAAUGAAGCUUUUAUUUUAAAAGAUGAAAUAAAAUUUUAUAUUUGGAAGCAAAAGGAACUGGUGGCGGCAUUUCACUUUGCUGUUCUCUGCAGCAUCGCGACUGUCUGCUGCGUUUUCCAUAUGUGGGCGUCGACAGAGUGAAGAGAGUCUCUCGCUCAAAGAACCAAAGUUACAAUGUAACCAUUUGACUGUCAUCUUACUUUUACUAAAAUUGAAGCUUUGUUCUUCAGUUAGAUUUAGGCAAUGAAAACUAAAACACUGUCCAGUGUAGGCAGUAACAUGUUAGACUUGUAAUGCAGAGCUUAUGAUUUGGGAUGUUACCACAUUUGAUCCCCAUAGAAGAUUAUUGAAAACAUCCACAUGAGUGGAAGCAAAAGUACUUUCUAUUGAAAUCUAUCAGUCUGAAAGUUGUGCUGAGUGUAACAAAAGAAACCAACAUAUUUCUUUUUCAUGACUAUUCCACCUUUUCUCAGUGAAUUGGUCCACAGUGCAGAAUGCAAAGCUCUAAAGUUUCCACUGGUCUUUCUGUUGAUGUCAGAUGACUUGCAUGUUUCUCCUAAAAAAUGCAGUAAUGACGGCUGAGCUGGUGUAAAUCACAGGAUUUCUCACAGGAGUUUGGGAUCAUCGCUUAUGAUGAUCAUUUUUUGUCAGGUUUAGCAGUUUUGCGUGGACUUUUUUAAAACUUGAAUGUGUUUCCAGCUUUUUACUGUAAAACUGCUCCGUUUUUGCCGUGAGCUCGUCUUCAGCAGCAGCUAAUUCACAUUUCCUGCUCUGCUGAUUAUUUGGGGCAGCAUGAUGGCGCUGAGUGAAAAUAAAAUGCAUUGUGUGCGUUCACGGGAAUGUGCUGAUGAGUUUUAUUUUUGGACCUCAGUGGAGCUUUGUGAUACGAAGCAGAAACAGUUUAUCAGGCUUGUUAGUACAUCCUCAGAAAUGAUUGCACCUCAUUCUAGCUUUAGGGGCACAAUGGCAGUACUCUCAAAGGUUCUCAUUAAACUUUCCUUUUACAAAUGUUUAUUUUUCAGUCAUUUGGAAAUGCACUGACUUUUCUUUUAAGGACUUUAAGGCUUGCUAACCACUCACAGCUUUCCCCUUCUCACAUGUGCACCUCAGCCAGUUCCUUCUGGAGAGAACCCACCAGGAUGGAGGAGGAGUUUCAUUGACUUGAAAGAAAUGCUGAAACACGCAGGUUAAAGCUCUGUCAUAUGAUGAAAAGCUGUAUGUGAGCACCAUCAAGAAAUACUUCUCUGGUCCAAAGCUCAUUUAAAAUGCACUGAGGGGAAGAGGGUUGAAAUAUUCUGGAAAACAUGAAUGCCACAUCCACCCAGGAACCAUCUGGGACAUCUGGAAAGGUACCAUCAGUGCUGAAAGCAUGGCGUCAUAAAAGAAGAGUCCAAGUGUUGAACCGGCCUGGUGCAGUCCAGACUCUUCAUCUACUGAAACGUUCAUCAUGAAAAACAUGAUAAAGAUGAAUCAGCAUCUCAAAUCUUUGGAACUGAGGUUGUAAUAACGUCACAUCUGAAACUACACGGCGAAUCUUUGUGGUCUGUUUAUUUUGUGACCACAGAGUAAAGAUGUCAUCUGCAGUUGCUGAUCUAUGACAGUUGAAGUUAUGGCUGAAUGCAACAUUUUUCAUCAGCAGUGCUCCUCGUCCUCCCUGCCAGCUCCUGCACCGUCCUUAUGUCCUGUGUCUUCUGUGUUUUAGGGGCUUGAAUCCAGAAGAAAUAAUACAAAUAUGCACCUUUUUCGCUUUAGUAACAUGUAUGUUUGCAGUUCUCGAGGUCUUUGAAGUAAUUAUGACUAACAGGUACAUCUGUUAAGAUUAGACCUGCACACUUUGCUCCUGUGUCUGAGGGAUAUUCUUACACAUGAGUACAGUAAAAUAAAAACUACUUGAGUAAACUGUGGAAGGCACGUCCUGACUGUGUGCAGGAAGUCACAGUCCUGGUGUAGCUGACGCUGAAAUGUUUGUGUGGGUUGCCAUGACAACACCAAAGUGAAUCUGAGAUCGUUAUUGUUUUCUAUUUGUUUUCUUUAUUUGCUUCUCAUGCUUGUGUACAUUUGCAGUAGGAAAGGUAAUCUAUGAAUCCAGUGAUAUAUCCUGCUUAUAAGAAAUGUUUCUGUUAAAAUAUUAUUGUGAAGUAGUCACUUCCUGUGAGUUGCGGGAACCGGAAGUUGUGCGCGGGAGAGACAAGACAGAACGGUAACACGGCGGACUUUUCGGAAUAUACAACUUUUCUACUGCUGGUUUUACAAGGCGUACACGUUUUCACGGUGCUCCAUGAUUGUGAGAGGAAUAAAAGAAUUGUGGACAUCAGUACGAAGCGUGGAUUCUUUCGACCAGAGUAGAAACAGUGAAAACGUGUCCCAAUCCAUCUGGAGGCUUCGGUGUGCAAAGCUCUUCUCAUCCUGCAGCAAGCUACAGGUCUCGGUUUGCAAACGCGCUUCCCCUCCUGCAGCAAGCUACAGGCUUCGGUGUGCAAAGCUCUUCUCAUCCUGCAGCAAGCUACAGGUCUCGGUUGCUUCUCAUCCUGCAGCGAGCUACAGGCUUCAGUGGACACGUUGCUUUGCAUUUUGUGACAACCAAUCGGGAGCUGCAGAUUCAGCGGACACUCCAAGAAGCGGUUUCAGGCUAAAGCGUGAGUCCUCAGGCUAUAUUGCGCAGUUAUUAUGCCUCAUGAGUUGAUGGAUAGAACAUGAGCUACAAAUUUGCUGUAAUGGACAAGGAAUUAAUAGUGUUCAAAUUUCGGAUUGUGUAAAAACAAACAAACAAACAAACAAAAAAAAAAAAAGAAAAAAAAAAAGGACAAUCUGUUGAAGUUCUGGAAAUUAUUGUUGUUUUCUUACCUGUUGCUUGCAAGCUUCAUGAAGGCUGAAACUGAAAAUUUAUUUGCUGUCAUACGUAAGAAUCUAAGCUAAGGUUCCUUUGUGUUAAUUUUAAUAAUUCUCCGCCUAUUACAUCCAUUCUUGUAAUUACCUUAGUUAUCUUGUCCUCUUCAUAAGAUACCCCCUUUAAGUCUGAAAAUGUCUAAAGAUGGUCAUAGUCACCCUGAUGUUAUGUCAGAAGUACAAGAUGCAGGGGAUUUGGAAGAGGAAAAAAGUGUAGUGUCUGAGAAAUCUGAGACAAAAGCAAGAAAAUCCUCUCGUGAAAGGCGAUUAACGCCAAAAAUGCAGGAACUGAAAGAUCAAGAGUUAACUCAAAAGGAGAAGAGGUUCAAAGCAACAUACGAGAAAUGGAAAAGCAACGUAAGAGACAUUCGCACAAAGUUAAAGCAAGUAUGCUCUGAGAGUGACAUGUAUGAUAUGAUGGAUGAGGCUGAGAAGCUUGAGUCUGAAUUAAAGGAACAGUAUGACAGAAUUCGACUCCAAACCUCACCAAGUCAAGAAUUUCGAAGAAAGAUCGAUGCAUGCUCAGCCGUGACGGCCGACUUGCUGCAGCUGAUGAGAGUACGUCUGACUGAAGAUGAAGGUGAGUUUGACACGGUGGCGGAAAGAUCAAGGUUACGCAUGCUACUUGAUAAUGAAUAUGCUAGGUCCAUAUAUGGAUCCACAGCCUCCAGAGUUACUGCACCCAGCUGUCACAAUUCUAACCAUCUCUCAGAGUCACCUAGCAUUCCAGCUAUGAGAGCGGAAGUGGCUGCUCAGCUGGCUGCAAAGAAAGCCGAAAUUGAUAUGGAAGCUGCCAUCGAAGCUCAACGUCAGCAGUUGAGAA
ensembl:lncRNA